rnacentral:lncRNA from 1 species
UUACAGGUAGACCUCAGCCGAGCUACUCCAUGGCAAGGGAAUUCCGGACGAACUUCUACAACGGGACACUACACUGAUUUUCCACGAUGAUUGGUCCUCGCCCGAGCUCCUACAACAAAUGGCCCCCUUUCGACCACUCGCGAGAAUCGGAUCCCGUCUGAACUCCUCCAGUGGAUAGAUUUUGGAUGAGCUUCUAUGAUGGAUGAGCUCCAGCAGCUGG